GGAAUUACUGGGCGUAAAGCGCACGCAGGCGGUCUGUCAAGUCGGAUGUGAAAUCCCCGGGCUCAACCUGGGAACUGCAUUCGAAACUGGCAGGCUUGAGUCUUGUAGAGGGGGGUAGAAUUCCAGGUGUAGCGGUGAAAUGCGUAGAGAUCUGGAGGAAUACCGGUGGCGAAGGCGGCCCCCUGGACAAAGACUGACGCUCAGGUGCGAAAGCGUGGGGAGCAAACAGGAUUAGAUACCCUGGUAGUCCACGCCGUAAACGAUGUCUACUUGGAGGUUGUGCCCUUGAGGCGUGGCUUCCGGAGCUAACGCGUUAAGUAGACCGCCUGGGGAGUACGGCCGCAAGGUUAAAACUCAAAUGAAUUGACGGGGGCCCGCACAAGCGGUGGAGCAUGUGGUUUAAUUCGAUGCAACGCGAAGAACC
rnacentral:rRNA from 3 species